UGGGGAAUAUUGCACAAUGGGCGCAAGCCUGAUGCAGCCAUGCCGCGUGUAUGAAGAAGGCCUCCGGGUUGUAAAGUACUUUCAGCGGGGAGGAAGGGAGUAAAGUUAAUACCUUUGCUCAUUGACGUUACCCGCAGAAGAAGCACCGGCUAACUCCGUGCCAGCAGCCGCGGUAAUACGGAGGGUGCAAGCGUUAAUCGGAAUUACUGGGCGUAAAGCGCACGCAGGCAGUUUGUUAAGUCAGAUGUGAAAUCCCCGGGCUCAACCUGGGAACUGCAUCUGAUACUGGCAAGCUUGAAUCUCGUAGAGGGGGGUAGGAUUCCAGGUGUAGCUGUGAAAUGCGUAGCGAUCUGGAGGAAUACCGGUAGCGCAGGCGGCCCCCUGGACGAAGACUGACGCUCAGGUGCGAACGCGUGGGGAGCAAACAGG
rnacentral:rRNA from 1 species